rnacentral:lncRNA from 10 species
CACGGUCCUACCAGUAUGUGAUGUCACCGCUGGAGGCCCAGUUGUUGGCUAUGGCCCUGUCCAUGUCAUCUCACACCAGGACCCAGAUGGCAGAGCUGGAGCAGUGACAGGUGUCAUGAGAGGAGAAAGAGUCAUGGAGAACCACACACUGGCCUUUGAAGCUAUUUCCUGGAAGUGAUAUAUGUUGCUUCUGCUCACAUUUGAUUGGCCACAGAAGGUCACAUAGCCAAACCUGAUGCCAAGGAGUGAAAUAAUGUAAUCUUCCCAUAUUUUUGCAUUUUCUAUUGUUCUUUCUUUCUUCCUGAUGCUCCAAG